rnacentral:rRNA from 1 species
GAUGAACGCUGGCGGCGUGCUUAACACAUGCAAGUCGAACGGAAAGGCCUCUGCUUGCAGGGGUACUCGAGUGGCGAACGGGUGAGUAACACGUGGGUGAUCUGCCCUGCACUUCGGGAUAAGCCUGGGAAACUGGGUCUAAUACCGGAUAGGACAAUGGUUUGGAUGCUGUUGUGGAAAGUUUUUCGGUGUGGGAUGAGCUCGCGGCCUAUCAGCUUGUUGGUGGGGUAAUGGCCUACCAAGGCGUCGACGGGUAGCCGGCCUGAGAGGGUGUACGGCCACAUUGGGACUGAGAUACAGCCAAGACUCCUACGGGAGGCAGCAGGGGGGAAUAUUGGACAAUGGGAGCAAGCCUGAUGCAGCGACGCCGCGUGGGGGAUGACGGCCUUCGGGUUGUAAACUCCUUUCGCUAGGGACGAAGCGUUUUUGUGACGGUACCUGGAGAAGAAGCACCGGCUAACUACGUG